GUGAUUGGAGGAAAGUAGGGGAUCGCAAGACCUUGCGCUUUUGGAGUGGCCGAUGCCUGAUUAGCUAGUUGGUAGGGUAAUGGCUUACCAAGGCGACGAUCAGUAGUUGGUCUGAGAGGACGACCAGCCACACUGGGACUGAGACACGGCCCAGACUCCUACGGGAGGCAGCAGUGGGGAAUUUUGGACAAUGGGCGAAAGCCUGAUCCAGCAAUGCCGCGUGAGUGAAGAAGGCCUUCGGGUUGUAAAGCUCUUUCAGUCGAGAAGAAAAGGUUGUGACUAAUAAUCACAACUCAUGACGGUAUCGACAGAAGAAGCACCGGCUAACUACGUGCCAGCAGCCGCGGUAAUACGUAGGGUGCGAAGCGUUAAUCGGAAUUACUGGGCGUAAAGGGUGCGCAGGCGGCUUUGUAAGUCAGAUGUGA
rnacentral:rRNA from 1 species